UUUACCUGUUUUGUUUUCCUUUUCGUCUUUGGAUUGGAAGCUCAAGCUAAUGGUAUGGUUACUUCUUAAUCGUUAGAGAAACGUACAGGAUAUUGGAAGAAAGAUAAAACAUUGCGUUUUUGUGGGUUGAAGAGGUGAGCCAAAAUGGGAAACUGUAUACAUUCUUCUGCAGCUAAAGUAGAUACUACGCAAAGCUCACAUACUCCUUCUGGAGCCUCAAGAAUUUCCAGCAAAACCAGCCGUUCUUCAGUU
rnacentral:misc_RNA from 1 species